CCGGUCACACCUGUGCUGGUGGCUAUAGCUUGCACCAUGGGUCUGCGGGGCGCGGUGGCAAGUCGAGUCGUUCCCCUGUAAGCGUGGGGAAGCGGGUGUUUCACACGCACCCCCACGGAAGCAGCUAAUGCAGUACCUAAGGACUCCAGCUGAAAUCAAGGCCCCUUUGUUUAGGCUUGGUACAAACAUACAGAGAGAGAGAGAGAGUCCCUGCUGAAGGCAAAGAGUUGUGGGGAAGGGAUAUGACCUACAAGCAGAGUGAACAAUUUGAUGAUCUACAAAUGUCAUUAGACUUCAGCAUCUGUUUCUCAAUGACAUUUUGUGUGAAUGUAUGUUUUGACCUAGUAUUACAUCUGGUUUCACUAAGGAACAUAGCAGUUAAGUAAUUAGCCCAAAGUCACUUAGUCAAUGGCUCACCCUGCCUGAAAAUUCUCUACUCUUCUGGCUCCUUGUCUUUUUGUCUAGAUCACAUUGGCUCCCAAAUUUAACUAAACCUUUAUUGAGACUUUGACAGAACCUUUCAUUCUGUAUAAUAAAUCACUUUUAUUUGGGAAGAUGUCUCUUCACAAGUCCUGCAUGAAAUUUCUACAAAAAAUAUUUCUAUAGUGCUAUACAAAAUGAUAAGAAAAGCCCCAGCAUCAGUUUACAGUCUGUUGAUUUGGAGCUGUCCGCCACGGGAACCAAGACAAGCGUUGCAGGAAGUGUGGCUACUCCAACGAGACUCUGUCCCACGUCCUGUGCAGCAGCAAGCCCCACUCCAGAGCCUGGCAACUGUGCCACAACGCCAUCCAGAACCGCCUGGUGAAAGCCAUCACACCGUGCCUGGGCAAAGUUGCCGUGAACUGCACCAUUCCUGGUACUGACAGCCAGCUGCGACCUGACGUCGUCAUCAUCGACGAGGCCCAGAAAAAGAUCAUCCUCGUCGACGUCACGGUCUCCUUUGAGAACAGGACUCCGGCCUUUCUGAGCUCGUAAGCUGGAAAAGUACGCUCCCCUGGCUGACACCCUGAGAGCGAAGAGCUACGAGGUGCAGAUGGACGCCCUGAUCGUUGGAGUCCUGGGCACCUUGCAUAACUUGCAAUGAGCGUGUGUUACGGACCUGCUGGAUCAGUCGACGCUACGCACGGCUGAUGCAGCACCUCAUGGUCUCAGACACCAUCCGAUGGUCCAGGGACAUCUACACCUAACACAUCACUGGCCACUGACAGUACCAGGAGGCGUGAGCCGGAGCGACAUCGUGCAUCGACUACGAGAAAGGGACCGAGAGACUUUGUCCAUUGGACCAUAUGAACUAGAACCAUAAACUCACUGAACGUUAAAUCUCACCAAAUGAGGGUCAAUCCAUCCUCAUCAUUGUAUCCACUCAUUAUACUACACACCUGAACAUAGCAUUUAUAUGAACAACAUACUCUCAUAUCUCAAUGUCUGUACUUUGGCCCAUUAACCCUUUACCCCCAAUCAAGAAUAUUGCAGAUUAUGUAUUCCUUAUGCCAUCUGAUUUUAAACUGAACUUCGCACCCCUUGAUAAUCUGUACGUUAUUCCCUGAUAACCAGAAACUUCUACACUUAAACUCUUUAUUGGAUCAGGGCCAAAGUGCUCAGUACCUCACAGAAUCGAAUCCUUUGUAAGCCAUAACAGCAUGUCUGAUAGAACAAAUAACGGGAGGCUAGGUGUUACCGCUAAGAGCAGGUUACAACUACAGAUGGUAGAGAAAUUGAGGAAAAAAUCCCCCCUCCCCUAAAAAAAAUUCUUGACCUUUU